GACAAAUCUUCAUCCGUCAGAGCAUAUCUCAGUUACACAACUUCCUAAAUAGUGUCACUGGUUAUCCUCUGUCGAAAUGAAGAUGUC
rnacentral:pre_miRNA from 18 species